rnacentral:rRNA from 1 species
AUUGAACGCUGGCGGCAUGCCUUACACAUGCAAGUCGAACGGCAGCACGGGGGCAACCCUGGUGGCGAGUGGCGAACGGGUGAGUAAUACAUCGGAACGUGUCCUGUUGUGGGGGAUAACCCACCGAAAGGUGAGCUAAUACCGCAUGAUCUGGAGACAGCAAAGCAGGGGACCGCAAGGCCUUGCGCGAUUGGAGCGGCCGAUGUCCGAUUAGCUAGUUGGCGGGGUAAAGGCCCACCAAGGCGACGAUCGGUAGCUGGUCUGAGAGGAUGAUCAGCCACACUGGGACUGAGACACGGCCCAGACUCCUACGGGAGGCAGCAGUGGGGAAUUUUGGACAAUGGGGGCAACCCUGAUCCAGCCAUGCCGCGUGAGUGAAGAAGGCCUUCGGGUUGUAAAGCUCUUUCGGUGGGAACGAAACGGUGGAUGCUAAUACCAUCCAUUAAUGACGGUACCUACAGAAGAAGCACCGGCUAACUACGUGC